rnacentral:rRNA from 1 species
GAUGAACGCUGGCGGCGUGCCUAAUACAUGCAAGUCGAGCGAACAGACGAGGAGCUUGCUCCUCUGACGUUAGCGGCGGACGGGUGAGUAACACGUGGAUAACCUACCUAUAAGACUGGGAUAACUUCGGGAAACCGGAGCUAAUACCGGAUAAUAUAUUGAACCGCAUGGUUCAAUAGUGAAAGACGGUUUUGCUGUCACUUAUAGAUGGAUCCGCGCCGCAUUAGCUAGUUGGUAAGGUAACGGCUUACCAAGGCGACGAUGCGUAGCCGACCUGAGAGGGUGAUCGGCCACCCUGGAACUGAGACACGGUCCAGACUCCUACGGGAGGCAGCAGUAGGGAAUCUUCCGCAAUGGGCGAAAGCCUGACGGAGCAACGCCGCGUGAGUGAUGAAGGUCUUCGGAUCGUAAAACUCUGUUAUUAGGGAAGAACAAAUGUGUAAGUAACUAUGCACGUCUUGACGGUACCUAAGCAGAAAGCCACGGCUAACUACGU